UUACGGCCAUAUCUCGUUGAAACAACAGUCCCCAUUAAUCACCGAUGUUAAGCAACGAAGAGCCUGAUGAGUACCUGGAUGGGCGACUGCUUGGGAAUACAAGGUGCU